UUUCCGUAGGUGAACCUGCGGAAGGAUCAUUAAAAAUGAAGCCGGGAAACCGGUCCUUCUCACCCUUGAUUAUCUCAAUUUGUUGCUUUGGUGGGCCGCGCAAGCACCGGCUUCGGCUGGAUCGUGCCCGCCAGAGGACCACAACUCUGUAUUAUAUGUCGUCUGAGUACUAUAAAAUAGUUAAAACCUUCAACAACGGAUCUCUUGGUUCUG
rnacentral:misc_RNA from 1 species